CACGUAUUUAGCCGUCGCUUCUUCUGCAGGUACCGUCACUUCCUUCUUCCCUGCUGAAAGCACUUUACAAUCCGAAAACCUUCUUCGUGCACACAGAAUUGCUGGAUCAGGGUUGCCCCCAUUGUCCAAUAUUCCCCACUGCUGCCUCCCGUAGGAGUAAGGGCCGUAUCUCAGUCCCCUUGUGGCCGUCCACCCUCUCAGGCCGGCUACCUAUCUUCGCCUUGGUGAGCCUUUACCUCACCAACUAGCUAAUAGGACGCAAGGCUCUCCGCAGGCGUCUCCUUUCAUCAUAAAGCCAUGCAGCUCCAUGACAUUAUCCGGUCUUGUCAGGAGUUUCCCCCUGUUAUCCCAGUCCUGCAGGUAAGUCCCUUACGCGUUACUCACCCGUCCGCCAUGGUUACCAUGGUGCAAGCACCACUUCCCCAUCGACUUGCAUGUGUUAAGCAUUCUGUCAGCGUUCAUCCUGAGCCAGGAUCAAACUCU
rnacentral:rRNA from 1 species